UUCUACAGUGUAGUUUAGAGGUAGGGAAUGAUGAAGGGAAUCGAUGAGGACAUUCACAUUAGUAAGUAUAUAGUGUAAUUAUAGGUCUUUUAUGGCAUUUCUCAUUACAAUGUAUUAGAGCAACAUACUAUAAGUAGAAGAGACUGAGAGGUGAGAUGUUAGGCUCUCUUGAUUGAAUGAAGGUGCAAACUACAGUUAAGUAUGGUUCUAAAUUGGAUAUUGGACCAUAUUGGUUUUAUUCUAUAGUGAUACCAUCAUUUUGAUUUUGAACUAGGGUCACUAGAAGUGUAUUAGAGGUGCUGGAAGUAUGCUACAACCAAAAGUAUAGCUUAACAAAGGGUUGGUGAAGGUAUCCUCUUCUGAGUCUACGAGGAAUAUGUUUGAUUUUGUUUUGUAGUCAACAGUGUGAUAACUUGGUGGAAUAGGGUGAAUAUACUGCGAAGCAAAAUCAUAUCAUUAGAUUUGCAAAUGCAACAAAGCUACUGAUAAAUGGAAGGUUAGUACUCUAAAUGUUAGAGGAGCACAAAGUAAAUUUGGAACUAGCUUGCCAGUAACCUUUGCAUAUACUGUUGUAGAUGUGAGGGGGAGGGAGCUUGGCUGGGAUCAAAAGCGCUUGUUCUCAUGCUUCUCUAAAGGUCCUAUGUUGUUAUGGCGAUUGUUUGUUUCCCUAACGAAACUCAUUGAAAUACGAGGAAAAGAGUCAAUUUGAGUGGAGGUAUUAACUUUAUGAGAAUGUUGAUACAUAUCUCUUGUUUUUCACAUUUAAUGUUGUUGAUUCACUUACCACAUAAAUUUGUUCAAUGUAUAAAGA
rnacentral:lncRNA from 1 species